rnacentral:rRNA from 1 species
AACGAACGCUGGCGGCAUGCCUAACACAUGCAAGUCGAACGAGACCUUCGGGUCUAGUGGCGCACGGGUGCGUAACGCGUGGGAAUCUGCCCUUGGGUUCGGAAUAACUCGCCGAAAGGCGUGCUAAUACCGGAUGAUGACGUAAGACCAAAGAUUUAUCGCUUUAAGAUUGGCCCAUGGCAGAUUAGGUAGUUGGUGGGGUAAAGGCCUACCAAGCCGACGAUCUGUAGCUGGUCUGAGAGGACGAUCAGCCACAUUGGGACUGAGACACGGCCCAG